CGCCAGCUUAUUUCUCUUUUUCAUUAUUACUGUAAGACCAGGAAUAUCUUAACACCCUUUUGCUUCGGGACAGUGUUUUAUCCUCGUAAGUUUGAAUCCUCUCGUGUUAUCACUGAGGUGUCUGCUUCGUGUCCCCGGCGUGAGGGCGGCGGCGGGCCUCGUGUCUCCGUCCUCCAGAGGGCCCGACGGCGAUCUUCCAUCCGCUCCUUCUGGUGACGGUGGGGCUGCUUUUCCCUCUUCAUCACUCUCCUCUUUAGAUGUGGACUCCCCCCGUCCCCAUUUUAAAUUCUUAAUCAGAUUUUUCUUUUACGUAUUUAAUGUUAGAAUAUCUAAAUUGUGGCUAAUCGUUUCAUUUAUUUGAGCAUAUUUACCACUUAAAUCCAACUUUUCUAUUAAAAUAAAGUGACUGGGGUGUGGCGCUCACGAGCCUCGAGUCGGCUUUACAGUCACAUUUUAUAUCUAUUGUGUUUUAGUGUGGAAACAAUAGUCAAUUCAUUGAUUAGCCAAUAUUAAUUUAAACAUUUUUAGGCAAAUCAAUAUUUGGUUCCAGUCUCUUGAACAGUUUUAUAUCAUUAUAAAGUGAAUAUGUUUCACGUUACAUGACAUUUAAAAACAUCACUUUGGACAUUCUUCAUUAUUUAAAACGUUUUAGAGGGCGAACAACUAAUUUUAAUUUAUUAAUUGAUAAUGUUGAAAUGUCAAACAAUAAAAUAUAUAUGAUGUCAUGUUUCUGUUAAACAUGUCAAACAUGUUAUAUUAUUAUUUAUUUGGGUUUGUUGGCCAGAACACACAC